UGGGGAAUAUUGCACAAUGGGCGCAAGCCUGAUGCAGCCAUGCCGCGUGUGUGAAGAAGGCCUUCGGGUUGUAAAGCACUUUCAGCGAGGAGGAAGGUGGUGAACUUAAUACGUUCAUCAAUUGACGUUACUCGCAGAAGAAGCACCGGCUAACUCCGUGCCAGCAGCCGCGGUAAUACGGAGGGUGCAAGCGUUAAUCGGAAUUACUGGGCGUAAAGCGCACGCAGGCGGUUUGUUAAGUCAGNUGUGAAAUCCCCGGGCUCAACCUGGGAACUGCAUUUGAAACUGGCAAGCUAGAGUCUCGUAGAGGGGGGUAGAAUUCCAGGUGUAGCGGUGAAAUGCGUAGAGAUCUGGAGGAAUACCGGUGGCGAAGGCGGCCCCCUGGACGAAGACUGACGCUCAGGUGCGAAA
rnacentral:rRNA from 1 species